UCUGAUACUCUACAAUUGACUAUACGACUUUCAAAAGUCACUCUACGAUUCUGCGUGACACUCUACGAUCAGUCAUUUCACUCUACGAUUGACUAUACGACUUGCAGAAGUCACUCUACGAUUCUUCCUGACACUAUGAUUUGACUCUACGAUCAGUCAUUUCACUCUACGGUUGACUAUACGACUUGCAGUAAGAUUUAGGAGCUAUAGUUGCUAAGGCG
rnacentral:lncRNA from 1 species